AGGGCAUCAGAAUUCCAGCUCUUUGGGCUCCUGAUUCUCAUCUUUGGCGAAAGGACUCAGCCAAACAUGAAGAUCCUUGCAUUUGUCUUUUUUAUCUUGGCUCUCCUGGUUGCCAUGAUUGGAGCCGAUUCAUCUGAGGAGAGAUUUAGAAGGCAUGUGAGAAGAUACCCGAGAGAGUAUUUUAAUUCUCAGCUAUCUCAAGAAGAUAGACCUUAUCAACCUGAUCCAUCAAUUUAUUAUCCUGAAUAUCCAUAUCCAUAUCCAGUGCAAUAGCGUUAGAAUGCUGUUCAGUACCACAGGACGGGAUUACAGAGGCUUGGCGGGAGAUUCGAUUUGCUCUGUGCUCAUGAUGAUUCUUCCUACUCCACAACCCUUUACCCAUCUGGCAACGUUAUGUUAGCCCUCAACUAACAAAUACAGCCAAAGUUUUUUUAAAGCAUCCUUUUGAAUAAUUCAAAA